rnacentral:rRNA from 1 species
AGUGAACGCUGGCGGUAGGCCUAACACAUGCAAGUCGAACGGCAGCACAGUAAGAGCUUGCUCUUACGGGUGGCGAGUGGCGGACGGGUGCGGAAUACAUCGGAAUCUACUUUUUCGUUGGGGAUAACGUAGGGAAACUUACGCUAAUACCGCAUACGACCUACGGGUGAAAGCAGGGGAUCUUCGGACCUUGCGCGAUUGAAUGAGCCGAUGUCGGAUUAGCUAGUUGGCGGGGUAAAGGCCCACCAAGGCGACGAUCCGUAGCUGGUCUGAGAGGAUGAUCAGCCACACUGGAACUGAGACACGGUCCAGACUCCUACGGGAGGCAGCAGUGGGGAAUAUUGGACAAUGGGCGCAAGCCUGAUCCAGCCAUACCGCGUGGGUGAAGAAGGCCUUCGGGUUGUAAAGCCCUUUUGUUGGGAAAGAAAAGCAGCAGGUUAAUACCCCGCUGUUCUGACGGUACCCAAAGAAUAAGCACCGGCUAACUUCGUG